UACGAAGGGUGCAAGCGUUACUCGGAAUUACUGGGCGUAAGGCGUGCGUAGGUGGUUCGUUAAGUCUGUCGUGAAAGCCCCGGGCUCAACCUGGGAAUGGCGAUGGAUACUGGCGGGCUAGAGUGCGGUAGAGGAGAGUGGAAUUCCCGGUGUAGCAGUGAAAUGCGUAGAGAUCGGGAGGAACAUCAGUUGCGAAGGCGGCUCUCUGGACCAGCACUGACACUGAGGCACGAAAGCGUGGGGAGCAAACAGG
rnacentral:rRNA from 1 species